rnacentral:rRNA from 1 species
UACGGAGGAUCCAAGCGUUAUCCGGAAUCAUUGGGUUUAAAGGGUCCGUAGGCGGUUUUGUAAGUCAGUGGUGAAAUCUGGUCGCUCAACGAUCAAACGGCCAUUGAUACUGCAAGACUUGAAUUACUGGGAAGUAACUAGAAUAUGUAGUGUAGCGGUGAAAUGCUUAGAUAUUACAUGGAAUACCAAUUGCGAAGGCAGGUUACUACCAGUGGAUUGACGCUGAUGGACGAAAGCGUGGGGAGCGAACAGG